GGGCCGUUAGCUCAGCUGGUAGAGCAGGGGACUUUUAAUCCCAAGGCCGCGGGUUCGAUUCCCUCACGGCCCACCA
rnacentral:tRNA from 3 species